GUUGAACGCUGGCGGCGUGCCUAAUACAUGCAAGUCGAGCGAAGCGGGGACGGGUGAGUAACACGUGGAUAACCUCCUAUAAGACUGGGAUAACUUCGGGAAAACGGACCUAUACCCGAUAAUUAUAGAUGGUUCCGCUCGGCAUUAGCUGGUUGGUCAGGUAACGGCCCACCUGGGCUACGAUCCCUAGCUGGUCUGAGAGGAUGACCAGCCACACUGGAACUGAGACACGGACCAGACUCCUACGGGAGGCAGCAGUAGGGAAUCUUCCGCAAUGGGCGAAAGCCUGACGGAGCAACGCCGCGUGUGUGAUGAAGGCCGUCGGGUCGUAAAGCUCUUUUAUUAGGGAAGCGUUACCUAAUCAGAAAGCCACGGCUAACUACGUGCCAGCAGCCGCGGUAAUAC
rnacentral:rRNA from 1 species